rnacentral:misc_RNA from 1 species
UUGGCAAGAUGUCCGCUUCAGGU